UACGUAGGGUCCGAGCGUUGUCCGGAAUUACUGGGCGUAAAGAGCUCGUAGGUGGUUUGUCGCGUUGUCCGUGAAAACUCACAGCUCAACUGUGGGCGUGCGGGCGAUACGGGCAGACUGGAGUACUGCAGGGGAGACUGGAAUUCCUGGUGUAGCGGUGGAAUGCGCAAAUAUCAGGAGGAACACCGGUGGCGAAGGCGGGUCUCUGGGCAGUAACUGACGCUGAGGAGCGAAAGCGUGGGGAGCGAACAGG
rnacentral:rRNA from 1 species